UACAGAGUGUGCAAGCGUUAAUCGGAAUUACUGGGCGUAAAGCGCACGUAGGCGGUUCAGUAAGUUGGAAGUGAAAUCCCCGGGCUCAACCUGGGAACUGCUUUCAAAACUGCUGAGCUAGAGUACGGUAGAGGGUGGUGGAAUUUCCUGUGUAGCGGUGAAAUGCGUAGAUAUAGGAAGGAACACCAGUGGCGAAGGCGACCACCUGGACUGAUACUGACACUGAGGUGCGAAAGCGUGGGGAGCAAACAGG
rnacentral:rRNA from 1 species